rnacentral:rRNA from 1 species
AUUGAACGCUGGCGGCAGGCCUAACACAUGCAAGUCGAACGGUAACAGAAAGCAGCUUGCUGCUUUGCUGCCGAGUGGCGGACGGGUGAGUAAUGUCUGGGAAACUGCCUGAUGGAGGGGGAUAACUACUGGAAACGGUAGCUAAUACCGCAUAACGUCGCAAGACCAAAGAGGGGGACCUUCGGGCCUCUUGCCAUCGGAUGUGCCCAGAUGGGAUUAGCUAGUAGGUGGGGUAACGGCUCACCUAGGCGACGAUCCCUAGCUGGUCUGAGAGGAUGACCAGCCACACUGGAACUGAGACACGGUCCAGACUCCUACGGGAGGCAGCAGUGGGGAAUAUUGCACAAUGGGCGCAAGCCUGAUGCAGCCAUGCCGCGUGUAUGAAGAAGGCCUUCGGGUUGUAAAGUACUUUCAGCGGGGAGGAAGGGAGUAAAGUUAAGACCUUUGCUCAUUGACGUUACCCGCAGAAGAAGCACCGGCUAACUCCGU